rnacentral:rRNA from 1 species
GACGAACCGUGCGAACGUUGUUCGGAAUCACUGGGCUUAAAGGGUGCGUAGGCGGCUUGGUGGGUCUGGUGUGAAAGCCCCGGGCUCAGCCCGGGAAGGGCGCUAGAAACUGCCGAGCUCGAGUGCCGGAGGGGAGAGUGGAAUUCCUGGUGUAGCGGUGAAAUGCGUAGAUAUCAGGAGGAAUACCGGUGGCGAAAGCGACUCUCUGGACGGCAACUGACGCUGAGGCACGAAAGCGUGGGGAGCAAACAGG